CAUAGAGAGAAAGAAACGAGAAGGUCCAUAUCCCACAGUUCCGGUCACUGAAUUAUCUCCCAGGAUUACCGACAACUUUUUCCUCUCCUAAGGGUGUUGAAGCUUCACGUCCAUUGAAGACAUACAAAUUAAUCAUGUGCAUGUGACUAUUUUUAAUUUUGAAAAAAUGUCUUUAAAACGUGAUUUGAGAUCCCUUGGUUUUGAUCCGUCUCACAAAAAUUGUUUAGCCGGAGAGGAAUUAACCAAGGUGUAUUUGAAGCAGCGCAGAUCAGUCCUGGAGAAAGCACUGCAUGAAGAAUCACCUUUUCCACGUCUUGAAGAAAUGUCAAAACCAGAGGCAUAUGUCGUGGAGAAUAACGACAAGCUUACCAUACAGUGUCAUUUUUGUGGCAACCACAUGGCCAUGGCAACACUUCCUCCUCCUUUCCAACUCGUCAUGCCUAGUGAAGGAAGAGAAGCAAAGUCAGUGGAGAGCAGAGAUGCCGCUGUCCAAGUGGAUCUGCCGCCUACAACGAUGCUAAUGUUAAAGACCAGUAACAAGGAACACGACUCGGCCGGCCGCAGUCCUCAUGGGAACACCACAACCGGGCGCACCACGGCCGGAACCGCCACGGCGUGGUACGCCACUGUCGGGGGCCCCGCGGCUGGGUACCCCAUGGCCGGGUGCCCGCCAGCCUUUCUGAUGGACCCCAGCCCAUCUUCCAACUCAUCUCUGUCCCCACCUGGAUGGAACACCUCUGCUGGGACCACUGUUGGGAGAGGUGUGUCCCAAUGGAACACGUCUUCGCUAAAUGAAUCGGUGACCAAGCAGCACCAGGAGGCCCAACUGCCCCCAGUCGACCCAGUCCGAUCCACUACUCCCAUCUGCAUCUCCUCCUCUUCCUCCUCGGCUUCCUCCAGCCCCUCCUCAUCGCCCCGCCCCCACUCCUCGUCCACGUUCCUCCCAGUCACUCUUCCCAACCUCUAUACUUCCCUGACGCAAACCAAGAAGGCCCUGACGCAAACCAAGAAGGACCUGCCGCGACUAAAGAGGAUCCUGCCCAAACCCAGAACUGGCCUGCAAAGCCCCGGGCCCCCAACCCUGAGCCCCCAAUCCUGCACCUCUCUGGGCCUCCGAGCACCUCCCUCUCCCCUGUUUUCCUCCCCCCCUAGGACCAGCAGCCUUGACUUGGAGGAGGGGGUGGACCUCACCCCUCCUGGCCUCAUAGCUCCUCUAAGUCCGCGGCUAGCAGAGGAGGAGGAGAACGAGGAGGAGAGCCAAGCGAAAGAGGCUGUCGCGGGAGGGACGAGGGGAGCGCCUCAUGAGUGUUCUGUUUGUCUCAGGGACAUGAAGACCAAGCAGCGGCUGAUGGUCCACUUCAGGGUCCACACGGGAGAGAGGCCCUUCAGGUGUGAGUUAUGCAGCUGUGCCUUCGCACAGGUGGGAAACCUCCAAUGUCACGUGAAAAGCAAGCAUCCGCUGGCGAUCCCAGAACCCAGUGGUGGCCGCAUGCGCCGAAAAUCCUCAAAAAAGGUUGCCAUGGCGGGCGACGGCACUCCUAGCCCCCCCAAGGCAGCAGAGGUAAACGCUUCUGUUGGUUUCCAGGGAGCCAACAAAGCUCUGAGCGAUUCUAGGAACGCUAGCAAUGCUCCUGCUGAAUCCAGGCUAGCGGCCUCUGAAAACCUUGACAUUGACCGCACUGCGGGCAUUGAAUUGACUAACGUGGCUACCAUUGCUAAUGACGUUGUUGGUCGUGAACCCUCCAGUUUCCCAACUGACUUCCCAAGGAGUAGGGACUUCAGUGCUUGGGACGUCCACAAUGCCAUGGAGCUCAACCCAGUCAUGGAGGUCGAUGAUGCCAAGGGAAAGGGCCUGGAGGAGGCGGUGGGUCCUGGCUUUCCUCCUGGACUCAUAGCUCCUCUUAGUCCGCAGCUAGCAGAAGAGGAGGCGGUGGGUCCUGGCUGUCCUCCUGGACUCAUAGCUCCUCUUAGUCCGCAGCUAGCAGAGGAGGAGGGGGUGGGUCCUGGCUGUCCUCCUGGACUCAUAGCUCCUCUUAGUCCGCAGCUAGCAGAGGAGGAGUCGGUCGAGGAGGCGGGCCGAGGAAGUAAGGCGAUGGCUGGAGUGACGACUGGACGGCCCUUUGAGUGUUCCAUUUGUCACAUUGACAUGAAGACCGAGCAGCAUCUCCAGAUCCACUCGAAACUCCACACCGGCUACUGGUGUGAGUUAUGCAGGAUUUCCUAUAAAUCGGGGAAAACCCUUCGCUUUCACAUGAAGCGGAAGCAUCCGCUGGCGAUCCCAGAACCCAUUGGUGGCCACGUGCCCUGCAAAUUCUCAAAAAAGGUUGCCAUGGCGGUCGGUAGCGCUCUUAGCCCCCCCAAGGCAGCAGAGGUAAACGCUUCUGUUGGUUCCCAGGGAGUGAACAAAGCUCUGACUGAUUCUAGGAAAGCUAGAGAUGCUCCUGCUGAUUCUAAGCUGGCUGGGAACGACAACAUUCAUAUUGACUGCGCUGCGAUCAUUGGAGAGACUACCGGGGCUAACAUUGCUAAUGACGUUGUUGGUCAUGAACCCUCCAGUUUUCCAACUGAUAGAGCGUUGAGUAGGGACUUUAGUGCUGGGGACGUCCACAACGCCAUGGAGCUCAAUGUCAUGGAGGUAAACCCCGACGUGGUGGUCAAGCCCAACGUGGAGGUCAACCCCAUCCCAGAGGUCAACCCCAUCCCGGAGGUCAACCCUGACGUGGUGGUCAAGCCCAACGUGGAGGUCAACCCCAUCCCAGAGGUCAACCCCAUCCUGGAGGUCAACCCCAACGUGGUGGUCAAGCCCAACGUGGAGGUCAACCCCAUCCCAGAGGUCAACGCCAACGUGGAGGUCAACCCCAUCCCGGAGGUCAACCCCAUCCCAGAGGUCAACCCCAUCCCAGAGUUCAACCCCAACGUGGUGGUCAAGCCCAACGUGGAGGUCACUCCCAUCCCAGAGGUCACCCCCACCCCGGAGGUCAACCCCAACGUGGAGGACAAUGGCGUUGAAGGGGUCAAUGAUGCCAAGGGAAAGGGCCUGGAGGAGGCGGUGGGUCCUGGCUGUCCUCCUGGACUCAUAGCUCCUCUUAGUCCGCAGCUAGCAGCGGAGGAGGCGGUCGAGGAGGAGGGCCGAGGAAGUAAGGCAAUCGCUGGAGUGAGGACGGGGACGCCCUUUGAGUGUUCUUUUUGUCACAUGGACAUGAAGACCAAUCAGCUUCUCCAGAUCCACUUAAUAGUCCACACGGGGCGCUACAGGUGUCAGUUAUGUGGCAUUGCCUACAUAACGGUGGGAUCCCUUACGAAUCACAUGAGGCUGAAGCAUCCGUCCAUUUCGAGUUUCCCCACGGCAGCAGACGCUUAUGUUGGUUUCCAGGAAGCCACCAAAUCUCAGACUGAUUCUAAGCAAGCUAGCUCCGGAGAGGCUAAUGUUUCUAACAUUGACAACACUGCUAGCUCCGGAGAGGCUAAUGUUUCUAACAUUGACAGCACUGCUAGCUCCGGAGAGGCUAAUGUUUCUAACAUUGACAGCACUGCUAGCUCCGGAGAGGCUAAUGUUUCUAACAUUGACAGCACCGUUAGCUCCAGAGAGGAUAAUAUUUCUGACAUUGACAGCACCGCGAGUUCGAGAGAGGCUAAUGUUUCUAACAUUGACAGCACCACUAGCUUCGGAGAGGCUAAUGUUUCUAACAUUGACAGCACCACUAGCUUCGGAGAGGCUAAUGUUUCUAACAUUGUCAGCACUGCAAGCUCCGGAGAGGCUAACAUUGCAAACGGUUCUGCCUUUGGUUUCAAGGAAGCUAGCAAAGCUCCUACUUAUUAUAAGCAUGGUGGUUACGACAUUGGCAUUGACAGCGUUGUUGACGAGGUCAACGGCAUUAUGGAGGUCAACCCGAUCACGGAGGCCAAUGAUAUCAAGGGGGAGUUCAAAGACAUCACAGAGGUCAAUGACGUCUCUGAACUCAAUGUUGUCAGGGAGGCUUCCAAUGAUGUUAAGACGAAGGUCUAUGGUGUCAUGGAGCUCAAUCAUAUGGAGGACACAAACGCUGUGGUUGGCAGUGAUAUCACAGUUCUCACCAGGAGAACCCGGAGAGACCAUCGGGAGCAGAGGAAAGACUUCUUCUGUCUUGAGUGUUUAGAGUGUUUCCGCAUGGAGGAAGAUCUCAUGAAACACGAAUACGAGAAGCACCCGCAUGGGGAACAACCCGAAAGCAACGACGACAACAGUAGAAGCCCGGAGCCGUUUGUUCAUCAACUGAGGUGGAGCUCUGAAGAAAACCUCUUGGCGCUUAGCACAGACUCGGAGCCAAUGAACUCUGGCGAAGUCGAGACGAAACAGACAUUGCGGCAAGGUCGAAAGAGGAAAGCUAGUUCCCCCAGACUUUCCGAAAUCCCAGUGGAAAGGUCGACGGGGAAACGUAAAGUAAAAAAGAGAGUGCCAAAGAGUUACACAGGCUCUGGAGCCAGGGGCGGAAUGGAUGCUCCCAAGCCUGCGUUUGGAGAGAUCCAUAUUCAGGGCAGACCCCAGAAGGUUCCACAACCCGUGGAGAAAUACUUUAAAUGUGUCAGAAUGAGUGCACGGAGCUGGCCCUGCAAAACUGCACUGCAAAACUCAACAGAUACACAAGGAAGACCGACGGAUACAACAGCUGGCCAGACAGAAACACCAGGCAGGCAGACACACACACCAGACACAUUGGCCAGAAGGAUAGACCAACCAGACAGACAGAUGGACACACCAAACAGACAGACAGACACACUGGCCAAACGCACGUGCACAAUGACCGACAACCAAGGCAGGCAGACAAUCACACAGCCAGUGAAUGACGGUGACGGUGAAACCAGUAAAGAGUACCCGGUUGGAGUGGAAGCCAGCAGAGAAGAGAGACACACUGGAACAGAGAGACAGGAAACAGGCUCAACGUCUGAAGCCCCAGAAAGAGUCAACACGCUGGACGGAAAUAUGCCAGGCUUCCUAAAGCCCUGCUCCGUCAAGCUCUUCUGUUUGCCACAGCAUACUCUAGAGGCGCAUCGCAUUAAGGGAUUGAAAGGAACUCUAUUCUAG
ensembl:lncRNA